GAUGAACGCUGGCGGCGUGCCUAAUACAUGCAAGUCGAGCGAACGGACGAGAAGCUUGCUCCUCUGACGUUAGCGGCGGACGGGGGAGUAACACGUGGAUAACCUACCUAUAAGACUGGGAUAACUUCGGGAAACCGGAGCUAAUACCGGAUAAUAUUUUGAACCGCAUGGUUCAAAAGUGAAAGACGGUUUUGCUGUCACUUAUAGAUGGAUCCGCGCCGCAUUAGCUAUUUGGUAAGGUAACGGCUUACCAAGGCAACGAUGCGUAGCCGACCUGAGAGGGUGAUCGGCCACACUGGAACUGAGACACGGUCCAGACUCCUACGGGAGGCAGCAGUAGGGAAUCUUCCGCAAUGGGCGAAAGCCUGACGGAGCAACGCCGCGUGAGUGAUGAAGGUCUUCGGAUCGUAAAACUCUGUUAUUAGGGAAGAACAAAUGUGUAAGUAACUGUGCACGUCUUGACGGUACCUAAUCAGAAAGCCACGGCUAACUACGUG
rnacentral:rRNA from 1 species